rnacentral:misc_RNA from 1 species
GAUGAAGAACGUAGUGAAAUGCGAUAAGUAAUGUGAAUUGCAGAAUUCAGUGAAUCAUCGAAUCUUUGAACGCACAUUGCGCCCUCUGGUAUUCCGGGGGGCAUGCCUGUUCGAGCGUCAUUAUAACCACUCAAGCUCUCGCUUGGUAUUGGGGUUCGCGGUUCCGCGGCCCCUAAAAUCAGUGGCGGUGCCUGUCGGCUCUACGCGUAGUAAUACUCCUCGCGAUUGAGUCCGGUAGGUCUACUUGCCAGCAACCCCCAAUUUUUACAGGUUGACCUCGGAUCAGGUAGGGAUACCCGCUGAACUUAAGCAUAUCAUAAGCGGAGGA